rnacentral:misc_RNA from 1 species
GAGUGGUGUUUGGCGCGUAUUGGCAUGUCGGAUCCCUGCUCGGGCAGCGACGGCAUCUCGGGCGCGCCUCUUCAGUCGUUGGCACAAGCACGGGCUUGUUCGUGGUCGGAUUUCCUGUGUUGCAUACCUCUUGCGAGGGCAUUCGGUCGGCUAUAUCGGUCCAAUUUCCGCCUUGCGUUGUUUCCCCUUGCGGGUUAGCGGCGUGGGGUGGACCACAAUGCACUCGUCGUGUUUCGCAUCGCGUUCGCCCAUGUCGGCGUUCGGGUUGUCGACCCACGGCGUGAUGCUCGUUGCCUCGGGUACGGAACAUCGGGUGGGUACGGGGCCGUCGGCCUCAAAUCUCCACAAAAAAUGCGUUCUACGCUUCUUGCGAACGACGGUCGGCCCGCACUUCGGCCUUGUCCUCGUGGCUCGGUUCGAGUCGUGUCGAUGUCGGUGAGGAAUGCUACCUGGUUGAUCCUGCCAGUAGUCAUAU